rnacentral:rRNA from 1 species
AGUGAACGCUGGCGGUAGGCCUAACGCAUGCAAGUCGAACGGCAGCACAGUAAGAGCUUGCUCUUACGGGUGGCGAGUGGCGGACGGGUGAGGAAUACAUCGGAAUCUACUUUUUCGUGGGGGAUAACGUAGGGAAACUUACGCUAAUACCGCAUACGACCUACGGGUGAAAGCAGGGGAUCUUCGGACCUUGCGCGAUUGAAUGAGCCGAUGUCGGAUUAGCUAGUUGGCGGGGUAAAGGCCCACCAAGGCGACGAUCCGUAGCUGGUCCGAGAGGAUGAUCAGCCACACUGGAACUGAGACACGGUCCAGACUCCUACGGGAGGCAGCAGUGGGGAAUAUUGGACAAUGGGCGCAAGCCUGAUCCAGCCAUACCGCGUGGGUGAAGAAGGCCUUCGGGUUGUAGAGCCCUUUUGUUGGGAAAGAAAAGCAGCAGGUUAAUACCCCGCUGUUCUGACGGUACCCAAAGAAUAAGCACCGGCUAACUUCGUG